UUCCCAUCACCAUCGUACUUAAAAUCAUGGAACAACAACAAAAUAAAUUAAAAGAGAAAUUCAUGAAACAUAGCAUUCCACAGCUUGCCAUAAGCUCACUGGAUGUCUUGCUUCCCAGCUGUACUUUUAAGAACAGCCAAUUCUUCCUUCAGAGAGUGAACUCCUUCCAGUAGUUCAAAAGGACAAGGUGCACAAAUAAGCAAGAUAUGCCUAGAUAGGUUCAGAUAUAUUUUUAGAAGUGGCUGCAUUAGAGAAUACUCAUGCACUCCCAUCCCCUUUCUCAACAACAGAGAAGCUGAAUGACAUAUUUUUAAUAGGCCAGACAUGGAAGUUUUAAUUGCACUCACAUUUUUAAGGUGAAAGGGGCAUAAACUCCAAAGUAUUUGGAGCACUUUUGAAAACUGGCCUUCGUGGUAUUACAACACAGAGCAAACAAUACUUACACAUGUUAAAAACCAGCCAUAAAGCUAUCACACAGCUUUUCCAAGAUGAACUUUAUAAUAAACAACUUGCAAAUGAAAUCUAACACAGUCUCAGACAAAAGCAUCAUAUAAAAUGAGCCUUCCUCGUGAAAUAAUGACAGCAUGUGAAUAUGUGAUAUUUUGGUCAGAAGUUUCAGACAAAUUAUCUGUACAACAGCUUGGGGUGUCCAUUGGUAGGGUUUCUUCAUUCGUCUUGGAAGUGAAAAAAGGUUCAUCACAUACAAAGGACAUCAAGAUAACCUGUUCCAUGACUUCACCUGGAGAACACUUAGCUUUCAGAGCAGCAGAGAUACAAUCUAACCGCAGUCCAAGUGAGAACAUCUCUCUUUAUUUCAAAGAGUGACUCACAAAAGAUAGAGCAUUCAGCCAAAACUUUCAGAGCUAAACAAGUCUACAAAGUUGACGUGAAUAAAAUGAAUCCUGAGAGAUAUUAACCAGGACAAUAAGGCAAGUUCUGGAGUCCACUUGCAUUUCCCUUGCCUGUGCAAUGGCAGUGGAACAAGUUGAGGAUACAAUGGUUGAAACUGUCAACUGGCUAAUUAGCUAUUAGAUUAGAAAAAGUUGUUUUACCAAAAUAACACAGGGCUAUAGCAAGACAUGUUCAUAUUACACAGCUUUAAAUGACAUCUAGACUGAUUGAUUUGAGCAGUCCUCACUUUUCUUACUUUAUGCAAGAAUCCUGAGAGCCACCUCUAUCUCCUCCAUUCUGCCUGCAACCUCUUGGACCAAGGGUCAAGAAAAGCAAUGUGAUGUAUUCUCAGCAUUGCUGGAUUAAGGACGUGACGCCUUUGCUAUUAUUACUUCUGAUGAAACUGGGGCAAAUCAGGACUGCAGAAGCAGAUCUGCAAGCUGUAUGUAGCACAGGGCCAAAGAUCAAUGUGUGUGAAGCAGAAGGGGGGGGGAAGACAUUUUCACUACUAACAAUAAGCUGUGAAGAAACUUAAUCCUCAAAGGUCAGAUGUACAUCUGAAAGGGCCGGGCGUGCCUUUGUAUCAGAAUGUAACAACAUUAGCCCUAAUGACUUAAUAGUUUUGCCCUUGACUUGUGUCAACAGGACCCUAUCUUAUUACAUGGUAAAUUAGUUGCUUCCAUUCUACUCCACGCUGCUGGGUGAUGGGAAGAUAAAGGCGUUUGUGGCAAAAUUGGAAAUGUAGCCCACUACCUAAAUAGUGUUGCUUAGUAGUACGCAGAAGUACUUUAAUUUCCGUGGGUGUGUUGGUGUAGAGGAAGGCUGGACACAGAGUGGGGAAGAAGAUGCAGCGCUUGGCAUUCAGGAGCCACAAUCACAAGGAAGGCAUCUCCUUGCUUGCUGUUGUGCAGUGCCACCAAAGGUCACCAUCUGCUGCAGACAUGUAGGGGUAAUGAGCUAGGGUCAGGCGUAAUGACGGUCGGCUCUAGGUAACAGAAGAGGCUUUCUUGUGCUCCUUCUCUUCUCAGGGAAGCUUGCUGCUUUUAGGAAGUUGUGUCACAUCCAUCCAGGUUCUGAAGCUACCAGGUGACCGGGGCUGCAUCAGCACCUGGCUGCUGAGAGCCCUUCCUGCACAGAGCAGGGAUAACCAGGGCUUUCUAAAAGAGUUGCUCUGACAAGGCAAGCAUCUCUUCCAUUUAAAUCAAGAAAACCCGUUUCCUGAUUUAUCUGUCUUAAAAACUGCUUUCUGAGUGCUAGACAAAGGGUUAGUUUUCACAAUAAACACACAAGAAGGGAGAGACAUGCUUGUAUGGUUAUGUAAGUCUUCUUUAAGGAGUUUUACAGGCAAGUGAGAUGCAGCUCCAGACACUAGACUUUUAAAUCAUUUAAAGCUGACAUAAGCUGAUCCUGUGCGCAGUUUAUAAUCAUGUUUUUACUUUUCAGCUCUGACAAUUACAGAUUGUUUGUAUCGGUUCCACAAGCACUCCUAUUCAGCAGUAUUGUCAAAGUCCAUUCAUCCCAGUCUCCCAGCAGCACAGUGACUCUUUGCUUUGCCAGCCCCUGUCCAUAACCCUCAUCCAACUGUAACCAGCCUCGAGGGGAGGGCCAGGGGAGCCUGCAAACAAUCCUCAUCUGCCAUCUGUGGUAGCUGCAAUUUCCCAUGUUUCAAUGUGGUUUUCAGCCUGUCUCAGCUCAGCAGGAAGAAGCCUGGCAUCCUCUAAGCGUGUUGCACUUGCAACCUUUGAAGAUGUUCAAAAGGAAAGGAAGAAAAAUAAAUGAAAGUUCUUAGCCAUUUUGAAUGAAGUUGCAUGAAAAGUCUUGGGGCCUAACUUGACUGGAACUGUUUUAAGUACUUCUCCGUUGCAGCAGCAGUGCGUCAUAUGAAAGGCUUUGUUUGGCACCUCUCCACAGUUAUAAAUAAAAAACAUAUUUAUCUCCAGUCAUGCAUAUAAUUUAAAAGUCGGACAGAAGAAACCUUUUUUCUCCUUUUAAAUCUGUAGCAAGCCCAAGAUAAAUUCUUAUAAUUUAUUUCUUUUAAAAGGAGGAAAAGAAAGAAAAAAAGAAAAACAAUAAAAAAAAUAACUGGGUUAUUUGGAAAUCUGGAAAACAGAUUAUUUCUUUGGAUGGAACAAAGUGUGUGUAUGUGUCAUCAUGACUUUAAACAGUUCCAUGGUUUCCCAUGGAAAUACUUAAUUGAAGCUAAUAAGAUGUGGAGUUAUCAGUGGUUUGUCAUGAUAGAUUUCAUAUGGUCUUUCCAAGACAUUUUAUCUCCUUUCAGACUCACUGACCUAAGACUGUCUGAACCACCACAGAUACUAAAUUUAAGCAAAACCCUACUGAGAAAUAGAGAGUGGACAGGAGCUUGGGCAAAGCUCUCAUAACUAUAUAACUCAAGCACUCAACCUUCCAAUUUGUAGUACCUGUGACAACCUCCCACAGAAACAUUCAACUCCAAGGCUUGUUUGCCUGUUAACACUUGCAGAAUAGAUCAGAAGUCCUUUCUUUUAGCACCAUGCCAUUAGGAAAUAAACUAUUGUCAUCAGACUAUAGAUCCUAACCCAAAUCUCCCCUAAGCUCCCAUGCUUCAUGUGCUGAUCCAACAAGCCCACCCACCUGAUGCUUCAGAACACCAGGUCCAUCAUCUACUAAACAUGUCAGUUGACCACAACAAAUACAUACUAAUAACGUUUUUGACUACUUUUACCAAAAAGAAAUCAUGCCCUUCAUACAUUCUGGUUCAGAAAAGCAAAUCUCUGCUCUAUUUGAGAUGGCUAUAUAAUACCUACAGACAGUAGUACAUUUUAAACCAUGAUCAUGUAUCUACUCAGCCUUCGGGAUAACCAGUAAAGUUUUGUGUGUCAUUUGUCAUCUGCAAAAUUCAGGUGCUUAAUAAGCAACUUCAUAUACCCAUUUCAGAUAAUAUCUUAAAAAAAAAAAAACAUGGCUUGAGCCAAUGUAUCUGUGUGAUCAUACAUUAUUAAACUGUUCUGAACUUUAUGGAGGAGGAGAGGUUUUUCCUAGACUGAUAGCAGUACAGUUUACAACACACUUUAGGUAGAGGCAAUUUAAAUAACCUUGGCACUCAUUUCAUACCCGCCUUUUAGGUAAUUAAUGGAAGUGUCUUUCUAAGAUUGGCCAAAAUUAAACAGCUUAUCAUUGCUGUUUUUCAGUAAGAGAAAACGUAGAUCUUUUUUGGCAUGACUACCUUCUGCUUUCUACAAGUUUUCUUCUGCAGUCUUAUUCCCUGCUUCAAAUGCAUCCACUGCAUGUGUUUCUUUUUAUUCUUAACAUCCAUUUCAAAUACACCAUCCCCACUGAUAAUGUUAACUACAUGCCUAUGGGCCACAGGGUCAGUCAGCAGCAAGCACAGUGCACUCAUUAACCUGUGAGCAACUUUGGUAUUUAGCUUCCACUGACCAAGACUGUAUUUAGAAUUGAAGAAAUCGCAUGCAAAUAUCAUGAUACAUGAAAUGUAAACAAUGCAGUAAAAGCCACGGGAUGUUACUGCAACUAGAAUUAUUUGAAGUCAACACAGAGUGAACUGUGUGAUAAAACAACUAUUUUGCAGCUGCUUAUGGACUGGGACACCCUGAGGAUUUAAUAUAAUCUCCUUUAGAUGGAGAACAAGGUAUACAACAGCACUACGCUCACUCUCUAGCCAGCAAUGUGUGAAAGAUACCUCCUGAAGGCAAUUCCUAUUGUGGACAUCCACCCCCUGGGACAUUUCUAACUACCCAUCAGGAGUAAGGGCAACUGGGCUCCUAACUCAGGUGUCUCGUGUAGUUAGCAAAAAAGGAACCCAGACUGAACUGUUCGGCAUACUUCUGCUGCCAGACCGUUUCCUCAUAAGACAGUCUGUAACUGUGUGUGUGUUCCUUGAAAUGGAGAAGGGCAUAAGAUUUACAAGGUUAGCAAUGUAUACUGCUGUAAGCAGCACGCACACUCAGAUGCUGUGGGAUUCUUUACCAGUUCAAGUUUGCAUACAUCUCAGCAUAUGGAUGAAGCGAGCGGAGAAGAAGCAAGCCUGAUUGUAAUUACAUUAAGCACUUUGGCAAUAAGGAAAAGUUUGUGCUUGUACACAGAUGGCUUUAUGUUACAAUGCUAUAAAUGUGCCAAGUUUCAUGGCUUCACCACAUGAUGCAGCAAAGGAGCCUGAUCCAAAGCCUGUGCAAAUCUAAUGAAAAACUCUCACUGACUUCACUGGAUUUAAAGCACAUUUCUAAGUCCACUGGACACACCUGGCCAAAGUGCAUAGACUUAUGUAGUAUUUUUGGAACAGUUUUAGUCCAACGGACCUUUUUUAGCCCAAGGAUUUAUACUUUGGUGACUCUGUUUCCCUUAAAGGGAAAAAUCAAUAAAGUCCACUUUGGGUUGAUUAAAAUGAAUUUGACUGCUUAAUGUAGCUCUCAUCUAAGCAGUACACUUAAACUUUGCACACUAUACUUUUUGGAAACUAUCUGGGUAAAGAAAAUAUUAAAUUCUUAUUCUUAUGAGGCCUCCAGAGUCCUUCUGGUGUUUUUGAUUCAAGUCCUCCUUUCUGUGACCCUCCCACCCCUACUUACUUCAUGAAGGUAAGAGAUCUUCAAACUUACUCUGAAAGUUCUUAAUUUAGAAAAAUAAACAAAAAAUUCUGUCAACUCAUUCCCCAGUGUCUUACCAUAACUUAUUUUAGAGUAAUAAAUCUUCACUCUGACAGCUCUCUGAUGAUGCAUUACAUUAAUACAUCAUAAUGACAAUACAUGUGAUAUAUUAUGGAUGCAUUUUCUAAAAGGGAUAUCACCUAUACAUUCCAUCUUCCUAGCACAGCAGAAGAUUGUUUGGGAAAAGGGGGGAGGGGGAGGCAAAGGAUGUUUCUUACCCAGAAGGCAAAAUCUCACAAGAGAAUUUGGAAUUAGGGUUGAUUGCCCUUAUUAAAAUACCAAAGAGAAUAAGAAAUAAAUUGCCCUCUCCAGACCAACAGCUUCUAUCAAUAGGAUUACCUGUUUGUUCCUAAAGAACUGGUGUUCUGGCUGGAAUAAAAAAGGGAAAUCCUGUAAUGUGCUUGUAUCAGUCGUAGUAAUACAGGAGAAACAGACCUUAGGAAAUAACCACAAAGAUUUCAGUAGAGUUGAAAGGCUGUGAUGAUGUGAGGUGCAACAUUUAAAAGGGUAGCUAGGGAGAUCUGCAAAAAGAAAUGACUGUUAGCUUUAGUGAAUAAUCUGGCAAGAGUUGUGUACACUCCAAAGAGCCACCCCUGACUGACACAAACCAAAAUCUUUCCAGUGCCUGGACAAGGCGAUGACAGGGCUUUUCAGUGGGAAACGAAGUUAAACUCUAACAUGGAUAUCUGCCCUUCCACAACACCACAGUGCACACAAUAACCAGAUCGUAGGUUAGUGUUUGCUGUGCAAGACUGUGCACGAGGACAACCCUAGCCUCAACUGAUUUAAAUCAAUUGCCAAGGUUUAUAAUGCAAAAUCAGCCACUGGCUAAGAUCCUGGAAAAACUGCAGCAGUAACUUUCUCCAAAGGCUCAUCUUGAACAUGGGAGCAUGUGGGCUGAACAGCACAAGGUUUGACAGAAGCCUUUGACAAUAACAGGUUCAAACCAUCAUGACUGCAUGCACCUGACUUGCAUGCAGGUAACUCUGACAACAACUUCAGUGCUCCUGCUCUUGGCAUAAAGAGCUCAAUGGCAGUGAGAGCCUGCCCUGAGCCUAUCUGUAAGCCUUCUCUUUUCAGAAACACAGUCUUUCCACCCACUGUCAGGUUACUGAAUUCUCAGUAUUCUGCUGGGAGCAUUUCCCUGAGAUACCUGGAGAGCCCUGAAGUAAGACAACAGAUAUCUAUCUCCUGCAUUUUUUCUCAUUAAGCCCUUUCUUAUCAGGUUCUCUAGGCAUAAAUUUUCUUCUCCAGCACAUACACAAUUAGCAUUACAAGAAGCUACAAAAACCCUUCAAGACAUCAAAGGGUUUCAUACUGGAAAUGAUCUUUUAACCUACAACAUGUUGGUUAAAAUGCUCCUUUUAGAAAUGGCAGGUGAGGGCUUCUGGGGUGAGAUCUCUAGGAGAGAGAACCAUAACAUUUGUAUUUCAGAUCUGCAUGCUGCAUUUUUGGAUCAGAAAAAGUGCCCACAUUAAUCUUGAUAGCUGUAAAAUCUUUCCUGGAUUUUUGGAAACUACAAGGAGGAAUGAAAAAAAAAACCCGAAAAACACAACUGUGGAGCAACAGACUUCUGGCUUUUUAGGAAUUCUGAUAGCAAUCUGAUGUUUUGGCGAGUUUUGCAAAAUACUGUGGACUACCUUUAACACCACACUGCUGUUGGCUACCCACAGUCCACAAGUAUCCAACGUCCAUUUGGACCAUGAAGCUUCUUGAGGUCUUACGCUGUGUGCAACUGGCGGAACUGUUUGAGAAUAGAUGUCUCCAGUAACCUCACUUCUUACAGACUUACCCGCAAGUACACACUGUGCUGUGAAAUGGAGUCUGAUGAUGAAUGUUCUGGCAUGGCAAAUACUCAUCUCUAUCUCUGCGCAUUUCACAGUAUUAAUGGGUAGAAGAGCACAUGACGCACCUUCUCUCUCUGCUUGGUCUCAAUGAUGCCAUUCCAGAGGGGCAGAUCUAAUACCUCUUUUCAGAAACAACUUGGAGGCCUGAGGCAUUCCUCUGUUGGACAAUCAGCUUAAAAAACAAACAAAAAACAAGAGAUUUAGUGAGAGAAAAAGAUUUUGUCAUUCAGAUUCACCGGAAAGGGUUAAAAUAAGAGUGAAAAUCUAAA
rnacentral:lncRNA from 1 species